GGUGCAUUCCUCCCCCACGCCCUGGGCGCCAUGGAAACCGCCCUGUAAACUCGGGCAGCGGCACUGACCUUUAAAUUCAUUUGCUACCGGCCGAAGAGCGAUCCCCUUGCGCCCUUCCAAGUUGCGGGUCCUCAGCGCGGUCCGCUGCCCCGACAGCGCGCAGAGAUCCGGCGACCCUAAGGGCUCUGGAGAAUCCGAAACGGAUUCCCGACUCUGGGCCGGGCUCCCAACUUUGCUGAGCUUUCAGUGUGAAGGGGAGUUUGUGGGGUUCCCGUCUGGUUGCAAGCCUGAGUUAAAGGAAGAUGUAGAAAACUCGCGCUUCUGGAGGCUGUGCCUGUGGACGUGGGUUUAUCUUGGAGAACUCAUUUGUGAACUUGAGUAGUGCUGUUAUUUCUUGAUGGGUUCAUUUGGCUUCCAAGGUGGGACCCGAGGGUGGCGAGGCCUGAGAGCGGCCGGAGGCUGUCGCGCGGGUCUGGCACUGGGCCUUCCCGGGAAGUGGUCUCUUCACCAACGUAGGGCCGGGCCGCCACCUGCCGCUCUCAGCAGGUUCCAGAGGGUGAACUUCAGCUGGUUCCAGCCACAAAGCCAGGCCUGCAGGGCUGGGGUGGGGUCUGCAAUUAUCCCUCAGUCCUGCGGAGGAACGGUGAUGUAGAGCCCAGGUUUUCCUUGGGUCCAAACUCCAGCUCAGCGACUUCUGGAUUACUGUGGCCUUCUCCCCAAAGUCUUCAGAAUACAUACUUAACUUCACUGGGACUGGUCAACAUUGUUUUCUUGUGCCAUCUUUCAUUUUCUGUACCGAAGUGAGAAGGUGACAAUCAGUUAUGCAGAGUAUAUUGCUUCUCGACAACAUUGUUUCCAGAAUGGCACUCUUCAUGCCCUGCCCCUCUACAAUCAUUACUCCAGAGACAAGGCUGCAUGACCAGUCCCACCCCCCUGUAGCCACCAAUGGCUAUGACAUCAUUGGAGCAGAUCUCUCCUCUUCCUGGCCCAGUUACUUCUAUUACUGCACCAUUUUAUGAUGCUAGCUUCCAUUGCCAAGGCUGCCUCCCACUGACUGAGGGAGUGUGGGGUUACACUGAAUGAAGCAGAACUUGAGGGGCCCAAGCCUUAUCUCAGCCUUUCCUCAGUAUGAGGUUCCACUGGACGGGGCUUCUCCAUGACUAGUGAGAAUCGCUGUGUGGGUGCUGAAGACCCUGGUCUGGUGAUUUGGCACGUGUGGUGGCCACACACUGGAAUUAGAGUUGAUGAUCCAUGGAGGUUUGAAAACUGAGGCUCAGAAAGAGGGGCGUGUUCCUCAGAGUCUCAGCUAGUUAGCAUCAGAAUGAGCUAUAGAGUGAAGGGCUUCCCUUCCACAUGGCCUUUCCCAUGCACUCUUCUGGAGCAGCACUUAGUUUGACAACAAAUCCCAAGGGUCUAGUCGGGGAUUCAAGCAGUAUCUGGGGCUGCUUUUGUAGUGAUGCAAAUCAGAUCCAUUGUGAGCUCUGCCUUGGGUCUCCUCAAGUUUGAAGUUCGGUUCUGCCAUUACUAGCUUUGGAAUGUUGGGCAAGGUACUUAAUCUCCCUACAUCAAAUGAAGAUUGGACAUGCCAACUCACAGGGGUGCUGUGAGAAUUACACAAGAUAAUGUGUAUGUAUUGUUUUCAAAAAAAAUAAUUAUGUAAUCUGUUGAGAAGUUUCUGUUCUACUUCUAGUCUCCUGAUAGCUUUUACCAUGAACAGCUGUAGAAUUUGGUCCAAUAUUUUUCUCCAAACUA